rnacentral:lncRNA from 1 species
CACCAGAAAAGCAGGCUAGACAGGGAACAAUCACAGGGUAACUCUAUCUUUCCUCCACAGUGUGCUGUCCUUGUUUGAAACAAAAUUCUUGGCAGAUCCAAUGGCUUUUCUAAUCACUCCAAGAAAAUGAAUGAAUAGUUCUUUUAUUGGGCCUUAAAAAAUAUAUAAUCCAUUCUACAAAUUGCUCAACCCCAGUUCAGGUCAGAGUGACAUUAAAAACUCUGAAUCACAGUUGUUAGGAAUAUGCAAAUAGAAACCAUAAGAUAAUGCUACAUUACUGAAUGGAAUGAUUUAAAAGGACACUGACAAUAUCAAAUGCUGACAAGGAUGAGGAGCAACUGGAACUCUCUCAUACGUUGUUGGUGGGAAUGCAAAAUGGAAAUACUUCUUUGGAAAAUAGUCUGGUGGUUUCUUAAAAAGUUAAAUAUAUAUUUAUUAUGCAACUCA